rnacentral:rRNA from 1 species
GACGUAGGUGGCGAACGUUAUCCGGAAUUAUUGGGCGUAAAGGGUGCGUAGGUGGCCUGGCAAGUUAUUAGUGGUAAAUCGAGGCUCAACCUCGUGGAAACUAGUAAUACUGUUCGGCUUGAGUGCAGGAGAGGUUAACGGAACUCUAUGUGGAGGGGUAAAAUCCAUAGAUAUAUGGAUGAACAUCAAUAACGGCGAAGGCAGUUAACUAUUCUGUUACUGACACUGAGGCACGAAAAGCGUGGGGGAGCAAAAACGG